rnacentral:rRNA from 1 species
GACGAACGCUGGCGGCGUGCCUAAAACAUGCAAGUCGAACGGUGUAGCAAUACACAGUGGCGAACGGCGGAGUAAUACAUGAACAACGUGCCCGGAAGACUGGGAUAGUCAGGGGAAACCCUGGGUAAUACCGGAUGUGGCCGAUCUUUGGCAUCUUAGAUCGAUUAAAUGGUUUUUCGCUUCCGGAGCGGUUCAUGGCCUAUCAGGUAGUUGGUGAGGUAACGGCUCACCAAGCCGACGACGGGUAGCGGGUCUGAGAGGAUGAUCCGCUCGAGUGGGACUGAGACACGGCCCACACACCUACGGGUGGCAGCAGUUGGGAAUCUUGCACAAUGGGGGAAACCCUGAUGCAGCGACGCCGCGUGGAGGAUGAAGGAUCUAGGUCUGUAAACUCCUUUUUCAGGGAAAGACUUAGGACGGUACCCUGAGAAUAAGGACCGGCUAACUACGUGCCAGCCGCCGCGGUAAUU